GGCUUCGUAGCUCAGCUGGUAGAGCGCUUGCCGCGUUGAGGCAUGCUGUGUCCGUCGCCGGUUCAAAUCUAGUCGAAGCCC
rnacentral:tRNA from 1 species